rnacentral:misc_RNA from 1 species
GCAUAGGCAAGAGAAAUCCCUCCAUAUCCAUAAACGAACAUAGAAUAGAAAAGCAGAAUGGCACAGAAAAUAGAAACGAAGAGCCGCAAAGACAGCUGAGGUUUGGAGACUACAUCGUUGUAUACGAUGUUACGAGGUUUCUUCAUCUCUUCUCAAUACUAAAUUUCACAAUUGAGAGCCGAUUGCAUAGAGUAUACUCUUUUUU